UACGUAGGGGGCAAGCGUUGUCCGGAUUUAUUGGGCGUAAAGAGCGCGUAGGCGGCCAGAUAGGUCAGCUGUGAAAACUCGAGGCUCAACCUCGAGAUGUCGGCUGAAACCAUCUGGCUAGAGUCCGGAAGAGGAGAAUGGAAUUCCCGGUGUAGCGGUGAAAUGCGCAGAUAUCGGGAAGAACACCCGUGGCGAAGGCGGUUCUCUGGGACGGUACUGACGCUGAGACGCGAAAGCGUGGGGAGCGAACAGG
rnacentral:rRNA from 1 species